GAUGAACGCUAGCGGCAGGCUUAACACAUGCAAGUCGAGGGGCAGCAUAAUGAAGUAGCAAUACUGAUUUGAUGGCGACCGGCGCACGGGUGCGUAACGCGUAUGCAACCUACCCAUAACAGGGGGAUAACACUGAGAAAUUGGUACUAAUACCCCGUAACAUCAUUUGAGGCAUCUCAGAUGGUUGAAAGUUCCGGCGGUUAUGGAUGGGCAUGCGUUGUAUUAGCUAGUUGGUGGGGUAACGGCUCACCAAGGCGACGAUACAUAGGGGGACUGAGAGGUUAACCCCCCACAUUGGUACUGAGACACGGACCAA
rnacentral:rRNA from 1 species